UUAAUUACUCUAAGCCUCCUUGCAUUCUUAUCUUUAGCUCUCUUAUAGAUUGAGUAUGGCUAACCAUCAAUACCCACCAAAUGGUGACAAAGAAAAGAGAGAAAACAUGGAGAAAAGAAAACAGGAGUUGCUAACUACCAUUGAGAAGCAGGAUGAUAAAGUACAUCAACUUCAAACGAGCGCCUUCAACCUUGCAAACUAUUACUUCGUCUUUCAAGGUAUUAUUUUGGGGGCUAUCCUCACUGCCACCUCAGCCCUCAGAUGCUCAGAUCGCUGGUUCCUUUUCAGCCUCUCUCUGAUAGCAGCUAUACUCAACUUGGUUUCAUUGCUUGUAAUUGGAAGCAAUUAUAAAAGAAGCGUGAUGCAGAGACACCAAACCAAGAGUGAGCUCAUUGAAUUGGAAAGUGAUCUGAGCAAGCUAGAAACUUCACCUUCAGAUCAAGGGCUCAAAACUAAAAUAUUAAGCUACUGGGAUACGACACAUAUUCAACAUCCACAGGUUGCUUCUCAUCAUUCUACGACCCUAGAUAUUAAGGAUGAAUCGGAAGUAAGGCAUAAAAGGAGGGUCAUUCCUGUUGUUACAAAUCAUCUACGUGAGUUCUACUUUGUACUUUGCAUGGGUAUAUUUAUAAUCUUUGCCGUCAUCGUGAUUGUGGGUUGCUGGACUAUUCCUUGCAAGAAAACUCUUCAAUGCACACCCCAUAUAUCGAACGCCAACAGUGAUAAAUGUAUUAGGGUUUGUGAAGGUGCCAAGUGUAUGAGCAUCUGCGCCCAGUUCUAAGGCUUAAAGUUCAACAGUUCUAUAUAGCUUUGAGCUACGGUUAUCCAAGUAGAUUGGAGCCACAAUAAAGUUUACCAUAUUUUGUUGCUCAUCAUUUCAUCUAUAAUAGUUUAUUACAUGCUUUUGUGCACGUACAGAUUUCACAAAUAAGAAUGUUAUUACAUGAUCGGAGCUCAAAUAAAAUAUAAGAUUCGGAUGAAUUUAGGUCUUCAGCACAUAAAAUUAAAAAAG
rnacentral:lncRNA from 1 species